CUCGCUCGCCCGCUCACGCCAAACGCCACGCGCUCCUCGCCUCCUACCCCUGCUCCUCCAUCUACUUCCUCCGCUUGGCUUCUCCGAUCAGCGCCUGCCUCCCCAUCGAAACCCAGAAUCAGAUGGUGCUGUCUCACCGGUCAAUCGGCGGGAGGUGCGGCGCGCAUAGGCUGGUGACGAACGGCGAGAGGCGCGCGCGUAGCAGGCAGCUGGCAUGGAGACGCCGCGCCUGGUCGUCGGAGCGGCGAUGCGAGCCCUACCGCCGUCUCCACCGACUCCUCAAUUCCGGCGGCGUCGCCUCCCGCAUCCGCGCGGCGGCGCACAUUUCCUCCCCUUCGCCCGCGCUGCUCGACCCGCGCUUCUCACCCGCUGCUCCUACUCCAGCAAGGGGAACAGUAAUUCUCGCGGCAAGCCCCGUCGCGAGAGCUCCGGUACCGUACGUCUGGACGGCGAAGAGAGCAGUGAUCAGGGAACAAAUUUGGCUAACGACCAACGUAAGGGUGACAUACGGGAGCUCUUCAGCCAGGCUCAACGGAAUAUCCUCUACCUUAACAAGCAGCGGCUUCUGGCCAUGGAGGAGCUCAAGAAACUGCAAGAUGAAAAUGAGUUGCUUCUUCAGGAAAUAGAAGUACUAGAAAAGGAAGUGCAUGGUGUGUUCUCACUUUUCAGGUUGAAGCUAUUUGGCUCAGAAUCCAGAUUAUGAAACUGUACAACCUUCAGCCAUACAAUGCUGGGCAUUGAUCUGAUAUUUACUUUCCAUUUUCCAUUCUUAACUGUAGAGCAAAAUGUCCGCCGUAGGGGAUUCCCUACUGUUUUCACUAAGAAAAAACUGUAUAGUAAAAUCCAUAUAUCAAGUUUCAUGUCUUUCACUUAACACAUUUCAUUUUCUCACGGGAGCCCUUUCAGGUGUUCCUGUAGAAGCAAUAAAAUCAUCAAGAUUCUGCGAGUUACUCCUGCGAAUAGAUACAAUGGUCAUCUCUGGAAUGAUCAACAUGCAGGAAGCAUCUGAUUUAAGAGAGAAAGUUGUCAAUAAUAGAAGCAUAAUAGGAAGCAACUUUUCUGAUAUUUAUCAUAAGUCAAAUACUGAACUGCUGUCCGAACUGCGACUAUUUCUGCGUAAACCAAUAGAGUAUGCUACCUCGUACCUCUGUCCGAACUGCUACUCUUACUGUCUUUAUAUUCAAGGUUUCUACCAUACAACUGCAUUUGUUGGUAUUCUCUUUGGACAUCCACUUGAGUGAGCCUGGAGAUACUCGCCAACAUGGCAACUCAUACAUUCUUGCCAUUCAUAUUUUAUCCAGUGUAAUCACGAAAUGGUACAUUUAUUUAUUAAGUCAAGUGACCUGUUUAACUUGAGUCUUUGUUACCAUGUUUAUUUGCCGCUAUAUUUCAUCCUAUGUUCGAUGCAGGAAACCUCUUCAUGUUGUGCACAUCUGCAGUGAACUAGACCCAAUAGUAUCAUGUGGAUCAUUGUCGACCUAUGUUGCCGGUGUAUCUUGUGCGGUUCAAGGAAAGGGUAACUUGGUGGAGGUGAUACUGCCCAAGUACACCAGCAUAAACACGGAUGGAAUUCAUGGUCUGAGGAAAGCUGAGGCAGAAUAUGAGUCUUAUUUUGGUGGUAUUUGGCAUAAAAACAGAAUAUGGACUGGCACGUCAAGUGGUGUUGGUCUUAUACUCAUAGAACCAACCCAGCUCUCCUAUUUCAAUCGUGAUAUGUUACAUGGCUACCCUGAUGACUUUGAGCGAUUUUCCUAUUUUUCCCGCGCGUCAUUGGAUUAUAUUGUAAAAUCUGGAAAGCAGCCAGACAUUUUACACAUACAUAACUGGGAAACUGCUAUAGUGGCACCACUUUUCUGGGAUAUAUUUGCUCACCAGGGGCUUGAGAACACUCGAGUAUUACUGACAUGCCAAGACUUGGAUUCCCAAGUAAAUAUCCAGUAUAACUCUUUCAAUCGUUUAAUGGUCACCCACGAAGUAUCACCACCACCAAUACACCUCGGAUACAAGAUUGAUGCAAACUUUUAAGAUCCAAAUUCCCUAGCAUCUUCUGAUAAUCGGAGCAUCCUUUGCACAUAUCUCGAGCCAUUUUUGAGGGCUCAAUAGUUCAAGUACCUGCAUAUACUGAUGGUUUCUUAUUUUUCUUAAAUAUUGUAUGUUUCAUGCAAUUGCUGCUAGUGCCUAGAGGAGCCAAAUAGGUUGGAGAUGUGUGGGCUUGAUCCUCGUAAGCUUCAUCGCGCUGAUCGUCUGCAGGAUCCAAAUGAGACACAUCUUGUUAAUAUUCUUAAGGGAGAAGAUAUUGAUUGCUUCUCAUGGAUUGGAUGGUGAACUUUGGGAUCCAUCCAAAGACAUUUAUCUUCCUCGUCGGUAUUCUGCCAAUGAUAUUGAGGGGAAGUCCAUUUGCAGAGAAGCACUUAAACGACGACUUGGAUUCCACAGUGGUUCGUCCAUUAUAGUAGGAUGUAUCUGCGAUGGUUAUUCAGACAUUCAUAAUCUCAAGGAAGCAAUUCAUGUAGCUCUGCGCAGAAGUGCUCAGGUUUCUGUAGUUAUUAGUUACCUUCCAUUUGAACUUAAACAGUUGAUUUCUUUGGUAGUAUAGCUGCAAGAUUUUAUACUGUACAGGUCAUCUUCAUGGAAAAGUUAGGAUCUGUCAUGAACUCAACCGUCCGGGCAUUAAAGGAAGAGUUUAUUAAUCUGGAUGACAGUAUAGCAUUCAUUGAGGAAUACGACGAGACACUUGCACAUUUAAUAUAUGCAGGCUCUGAUAUCAUUCUUUGCUCUUCCUUUGAAGACCCAUCACUUCAAAUAGCGAUGAAGGCAAUAAAAUAUGGAUGUGCACCAGUACAAAUAAACUUUCCGAAUGACGAAUCCAGGCAAUUUGAGGGGAAUGAUUGCCGCAACAGAGUAAUGUCUAAGUAUAUCAUCUCAACCUAUGGAGCAUUGUCUCUUCUUCAAGCACUUGAUAGUUUUAAGAAUGACCCUUCCCUUUGGGAUCAGCGUAUGAAGGAUGGGAUGGUUAAGGGUUUAGCAUGGGAUGCUGAGUGCUAUGAUCUUCACUGGGAAGCCUAUUCCUUUAUAAGGAAGCUGUGAAUUGGCCAUCUGGCAAGAAAGCACUAGAGGCACCAGAACUCCAAAUAAAAGCUACCUGUAUAAUGUUUGCACUUAAUCCUGUAAAUUUAGUUUUUCUAGAUUAACGAUAAAUCAAGUUAGGAAGUUUGUUCAUUCUAUUGUUAGUAAAUAAAUAAAUAAAUAAAUACUAGUUAACAAUGGUUUGUUAAAGCUUCUGGUUCUUCUUCCUAUACUUGUAACAAAUAGCUCCAAGCUCUUGUUAAAUUAUGCUGUUUUGCUUAAUAAGUGUGCAAGAGAUCUGCACUCAGUUUCACAAA